CAGAAUGCAGUUGGAGGUUUGAUCACGGCUCUGUAGAACAGUCCCCACUACCAGGCACUGAGACUGCAAAGUGGUCCCAGCCUGAAGCUUUGUUUCAGAGCUCUGGCUUACGUAGAGCUGUCUGAUCUUGCCUUCAAGGUGAACCUACAAACUACACUUUUGUAUUUCCAAAGCACUCAAGCUGCUGUUCCCUAAUUGAGGCACUGUGCACAGUUCAUCUUGUUUGGACUUAGAAACCUCAGUCUAGAAGAAACUAGCCCAAGGGAUACAGACGGGACGGAACAAUGGCCGGCAGCUCUCCCGGACUCCUGGCCACUCCCCAAAUGAGUCUAGAAGAUAAGCAACCAGAGUGAGGAACACAAUGACCCCCUUGACGGGCACGUGGUAAAUUCACAGCUCGUGUAGCUCUCGCUGAAGAGGACCUGCUCAUCAUUCAGCAAACACAGACAUGAAGUUCAGCAUCGGGCUCCCUGGUGUGUCUGACGGAUGGGACUUCCAAAGGCUGUAAAGGUCCUUGCUCAAGUCUCAGCAGUUGCCUGGAUGUAGCAGUUACACCAAGUACUUGAGUACCAGUAAAAUGGCAGUUACUCCACACUGUUCACUUGGAGAAUAACUGCCACUUCAUGCUUAUUGCUUAUUUAUUUCCUUCCUUCCUUCCUUCCUUCCUUCCUUCCUUCCUCUUUCUCUCUUUGACAGGGUCUCUCUCUGUUGCAGAAGCUGGAGUGCAGUGGCCCAAUCUCAGCUCACUGUGGCCUCGGCCUUCUGGGCUCAAGAAAUCCUCCCACCUCAGCCUCCCAAAGUGCUGGGAUUACAGGCAUGAGCUACCACAGCCUGCCUUGUUGGGUUUCUAGACAAGGUCCCUGAGACCCAGAAAGGUAAAGUGAUAUACAAAGUUCAAUAAUUACAUGUGGUGAAGCCAGCGUAGCAUCCACACCUCCUCCCUCCCCAUUUAAUGUCUUUUCACCAGAGAGCAUGUGUUAAUGAGGCUGUGGUUGUAGACUCUUAUAGGAACUGAAGACCUGUAAGACCCAUAUCCCAGUUAGCCAUCUUACAAACAGAAGCAUUCACUGAAUAUAUGUCCAGGCGAGAGAAUAGGUGGCUGUAAGAAAACUGACCCCAUUCUUUGAAACAAACACACGCAAGCUUCUUUCUCUAUCUAUCUACCUAUCUUCUAUUUCUCUAUUAUCUAUCUAUCUAUCUUUCUUUCUUUCUUCAUCACUAUAAUGCUCAAGAAUAUAUUUGCAGCAAAACCCAAUGCUAUUCUGAUCAAGAGCAAAGCCAUCAAUAGCUCUUGGUUGGAACUUGGGAAAAAACUGGGCAUAGAGAGCCUGGUGAAUACUUAUCCAGGUGAUACCAACUGUUGUAGGUCUCUUGAGUGUGGACCAUGUAUCUGAAGAAACAAUUGUUUAAAUGUUACUCAAAGGACCAAAAGGAUGGAUGUCCAAAGGGUGAGCAUUUGAUUUCUCCUCAUGUGUGGAACUUGCCUUUUAGUGACCUGGCUGAUGAGUGGCCAACGCUCUUCCUGUGCCAUUGUGUCCCACACAGCCAGAAUUUAAUCAUGCAGGAGCUGCUGGAAAGAUGCUCUAUGCAGAGAGAAAUUAAUGGAAUGAACUCAGGACAAAACCCUUGUCUCGGGUCUGCGUCAUUCUAAUAGCAGAACAAACUUCAUGCUGUCAGCAGCAAAAGAGAUGACUGGAAAUCACCUUUAGCUUUUCCAUCCAUUAUGACAGCAUGGGCAGAACGAGGAAGGAGGACAGCAAACAGGAUGAGAAACCACAGAUGAGGUGGCAGGCAGGAGGCAUGCGCUGUAUCCAUCCAAGGACAAAGAGAGGUGGCAGGAGCUAAGGAGCAGGGCUCCCUAACCCCCAGGCCACGGACCAGUGCUAGUCGGUGUCCUGUUAAGAAGCAGGCCACACAGCAGAAGGUCCCUCUCUGCCUCAGCAUAAUUCGUUCUCUGAAGGGACCACUAGCACAGCUGAGAAGUGCUUUAAGUCUGAGCACCACCGCGGAGACAAAGUACGGCUGGAGGACGAGUAUCAGUGCUGAGUCUGAUCUGCACACACUGAAGAUGCCCCCCAGGUCAUCUGGGUAUGAAACAGCUGCAAUCCGCAACGGCCCUGGGAGAAACCACUGAAGAGUGCCCUUCAGCAUCCACAGCAAGAAAAUCAGGCCACAGAAAGCUGUAAAGAGCCUUGGGAUGGAGACUGAGAAGAGGCAGGACCACCUCUGACAUUUACGUCAGUAGUGAGAAUCAGGUGGACUGAUGAAACCUCUAGUAAACCAAAGGCACCCUACACCUACGAUAGUUGUUAAGAUGUGCACAGACGUAGGAUUGACCCACAUCAAACCAUCAGAGGAAGCAUGCAGAGAUGCAGCAUGCACAUGACUCUCUAGGCCUCAGUUUCCUCACUAGUAAAAGAGACAACUUUAAUGAGUUGGUAUAUGCAAAUGAGUUAUGUACAAAUGAAAUGAGGUAUGCAAAUGAGUUGAUGUACAUAAAUGAGUUGAUACAUGCAAAUGAUUGAUGUAUGUGAAUGUAUUACGUAUGUAAAUGAGCUGUUGUAUGUAAUGCACUCAGAACAGUACUCAGUACCCAGCCCUAGGGAAGAAUUUUCAAAUA
rnacentral:lncRNA from 1 species